UACGUAGGGUGCGAGCGUUAAUCGGAAUUACUGGGCGUAAAGCGUGCGUAGGUGGUUCGUUGUGUCUGUGGUGAAAGCCCCGGGCUUAACCUGGGAAUGGCCAUGGAAACUGGCGAGCUGGAGUGUGGCAGAGGGGGGUGGGAAUUCCGCGUGUAGCAGUGAAAUGCGUAGAGAUGCGGAGGAACACCGAUGGCGAAGGCAGCCCCCCUGGGCUAACACUGACGCUGGAGGCACGAAAGCGUGGGGAGCAAACAGG
rnacentral:rRNA from 1 species